rnacentral:hammerhead_ribozyme from 1 species
AUCCAGGUGACGAGUCCCAAACAGGACGAAAUGCGUAUCCUGGAU